rnacentral:rRNA from 1 species
GGGUUGUGAGGUUAAGCGACUAAGCGUACACGGUGGAUGCCCUGGCAGUCAGAGGCGAUGAAGGACGUGCUAAUCUGCGAAAAGCGUCGGUAAGGUGAUAUGAACCGUUACAGCCGGCGAUGUCCGAAUGGGGAAACCCAGUGCAAUUCGUUGCACUAUCGUUAACUGAAUACAUAGGUUAACGAGGCGAACCGGGGGAACUGAAACAUCUAAGUACCCCGAGGAAAAGAAAUCAACCGAGAUUCCCCCAGUAGCGGCGAGCGAACGGGGAGCAGCCCAGAGUCUGAAUCAGCUUGUGUGUUAGUGGAACGGUCUGGAAAGUCCGACGGUACAGGGUGAUAGUCCCGUACACCAAAAUGCACAGGCUGUGAACUCGAAGAGUAGGGCGGGACACGUGGUAUCCUGUCUGAAUAUGGGGGGACCAUCCUCCAAGGCUAAAUACUCCUGACUGACCGAUAGUGAACCAGUACCGUGAGGGAAAGGCGAAAAGAACCCCGGCGAGGGGAGUGAAAAAGAACCUGAAACCGUGUACGUACAAGCAGUGGGAGCACCUUCGGGUGUGACUGCGUACCUUUUGUAUAAUGGGUCAGCGACUUAUAUUCUGUAGCAAGGUUAACCGUAUAGGGGAGCCGCAGGGAAACCGAGUCUUAACUGGGCGUUAAGUUGCAGGGUAUAGACCCGAAACCCGGUGAUCUAGCCAUGGGCAGGUUGAAGGUUGGGUAACACUAACUGGAGGACCGAACCGACUAAUGUUGAAAAAUUAGCGGAUGACUUGUGGCUGGGGGUGAAAGGCCAAUCAAACCGGGAGAUAGCUGGUUCUCCCCGAAAGCUAUUUAGGUAGCGCCUCGUGAACUCAUCUUCGGGGGUAGAGCACUGUUUCGGCUAGGGGGUCAUCCCGACUUACCAACCCGAUGCAAACUACGAAUACCGAAGAAUGUUAUCACGGGAGACACACGGCGGGUGCUAACGUCCGUCGUGAAGAGGGAAACAACCCAGACCGCCAGCUAAGGUCCCAAAGUCACAGUUAAGUGGGAAACGAUGUGGGAAGGCACAGACAGCCAGGAUGUUGGCUUAGAAGCAGCCAUCAUUUAAAGAAAGCGUAAUAGCUCACUGGUCGAGUCGGCCUGCGCGGAAGAUGUAACGGGGCUAAACUGUGCACCGAAGCUGCGGCAGCGACACUUAGGUGUUGUUGGGUAGGGGAGCGUUCUGUAAGCCUGCGAAGGUGGCCUGUGAGGGUUGCUGGAGGUAUCAGAAGUGCGAAUGCUGACAUAAGUAACGAUAAUGCGGGUGAAAAGCCCGCACGCCGGAAGACCAAGGGUUCCUGUCCAACGUUAAUCGGGGCAGGGUGAGUCGACCCCUAAGGCGAGGCCGAAAGGCGUAGUCGAUGGGAAACAGGUUAAUAUUCCUGUACUUGGUGUUACUGCGAAGGGGGGACGGAGAAGGCUAUGUUAGCCGGGCGACGGUUGUCCCGGUUUAAGCAUGUAGGCGGAGGUUCCAGGUAAAUCCGGUACCUUUUUAACGCUGAGGUGUGAUGACGAGGCACUACGGUGCUGAAGUAACAAAUGCCCUGCUUCCAGGAAAAGCCUCUAAGCAUCAGGUAACAUUAAAUCGUACCCCAAACCGACACAGGUGGUCAGGUAGAGAAUACCAAGGCGCUUGAGAGAACUCGGGUGAAGGAACUAGGCAAAAUGGUGCCGUAACUUCGGGAGAAGGCACGCUGAUAUGUAGGUGAAGCCCCUGCGGGUGGAGCUGAAAUCAGUCGAAGAUACCAGCUGGCUGCAACUGUUUAUUAAAAACACAGCACUGUGCAAACACGAAAGUGGACGUAUACGGUGUGACGCCUGCCCGGUGCCGGAAGGUUAAUUGAUGGGGUUAUCCGUAAGGAGAAGCUCUUGAUCGAAGCCCCGGUAAACGGCGGCCGUAACUAUAACGGUCCUAAGGUAGCGAAAUUCCUUGUCGGGUAAGUUCCGACCUGCACGAAUGGCGUAAUGAUGGCCAGGCUGUCUCCACCCGAGACUCAGUGAAAUUGAACUCGCUGUGAAGAUGCAGUGUACCCGCGGCAAGACGGAAAGACCCCGUGAACCUUUACUAUAGCUUGACACUGAACAUUGAGCCUUGAUGUGUAGGAUAGGUGGGAGGCUUUGAAGCGUGGACGCCAGUCUGCGUGGAGCCAACCUUGAAAUACCACCCUUUAAUGUUUGAUGUUCUAACGUUGGCCCCUUAUCGGGGUUGCGGACAGUGUCUGGUGGGUAGUUUGACUGGGGCGGUCUCCUCCCAAAGAGUAACGGAGGAGCACGAAGGUUAGCUAAUCCUGGUCGGACAUCAGGAGGUUAGUGCAAUGGCAUAAGCUAGCUUGACUGCGAGCGUGACGGCGCGAGCAGGUGCGAAAGCAGGUCAUAGUGAUCCGGUGGUUCUGAAUGGAAGGGCCAUCGCUCAACGGAUAAAAGGUACUCCGGGGAUAACAGGCUGAUACCGCCCAAGAGUUCAUAUCGACGGCGGUGUUUGGCACCUCGAUGUCGGCUCAUCACAUCCUGGGGCUGAAGUAGGUCCCAAGGGUAUGGCUGUUCGCCAUUUAAAGUGGUACGCGAGCUGGGUUUAGAACGUCGUGAGACAGUUCGGUCCCUAUCUGCCGUGGGCGCUGGAGAAUUGAGGGGGGCUGCUCCUAGUACGAGAGGACCGGAGUGGACGCAUCACUGGUGUUCGGGUUGUCAUGCCAAUGGCAUUGCCCGGUAGCUAAAUGCGGAAGAGAUAAGUGCUGAAAGCAUCUAAGCACGAAACUUGCCCCGAGAUGAGUUCUCCCUGAGACUUUAAGUCUCCUGAAGGAACGUUAAAGACGAUGACGUUGAUAGGUCGGGUGUGUAAGCGUAGCGAUACGUUGAGCUAACCGAUACUAAUGAACCGUGAGGCUUAACCUUACAACGCCGAAG